UUCCCCUAUAAGAACCCCCUUCGUACGACCUUUUCUUCUGAUUUCUUUUCUCUUUCUUUCCUUAAUCAAUUCGUAAUCUGUAAUUAGGAUAGUACCAAAUCGUUAAUCGAAGUACGCCCGUUACAGAUUAAUUCCAAAGUAUUGCUGUUUUGAAAGAAUGUUUUUUCAUCUCUGAUGUCAUUGCAGUUCAAUCAUGAUUUAGACACAACUUCUGAACCUCUUUUCUUUGACUUUUACACUCAAAAAUCAUAUUCUAACAAAAUCAUCACCACCAUCACCAUCAACAAUUUUUUAUUUAAAAAGAAUACAUCAAUUUAUCAAACAA
rnacentral:sRNA from 1 species